rnacentral:rRNA from 1 species
CGCCUCUUGCCCUCAUAAGAGGUCCAGCCUGCCCAGUGACCCAAUUCAACGGCCGCGGUAUCCUGACCGUGCGAAGGUAGCGUAAUCACUUGUUCUUUAAAUAAGGACUAGUAUGAACGGCAUCACGAAGGCUGUACUGUCUCCCGCCUUUAAUCAGUGAAAUUAAUCUCCCCGUGAAGAAGCGGGGAUGAAACCAUAAGACGAGAAGACCCCAUGGAGCUUUAAACAAAGGGCAUUUACUAACCCAUAACAAGUUAAGCAUUAUGACCCCUAGUUUUUGGUUGGGGCGACCACGGAGAACAACCCACCCUCCAUGCUGAAAGAUAUAAUCUUAGCCUAAAACAACCCAUUUAAGCAUUAGAAUCCUAACACCCAUUGACCCAAUUCACUUGAUCAACGAACCAAGUUACCCUGGGGAUAACAGCGCAAUCCACUUCAAGAGCCCCUAUCGACAAGUGGGUUUACGACCUCGAUGUUGGAUCAGGGUACCCAAGUGGUGCAGCCGCUACUAACGGUUCGUUUGUUCAACGAUUAAAACCCU